ensembl:lncRNA
UUUUUUUUUUUUUUUUUUUUUUUAGUUCUGAUGCAGUGUUACGCUUAUGGGAUUCCCAGGCAGAAGGCAAGGCACAGUGCAGGAUCUCUCCAACUCUCCUGACUGUCCCACAGAUGCCGUAUAAGCAUGUGCCAAGUUUUGGACUACAGGUAGGAAUGACAUAGCCAUGUGUUACAAGUAUAUUCAAAGAUUAUGAAGACAAGAAGAAGAACUGAGAGAAUCGAAUCUGACUUCUCAUGUAAUGCUGUCUUUACAUCCCUAUAAUGGUUUGCUGGAAAACAUUCCUUUUUGACUUAAACACUUUUUUUCCAUAGCUGUGUUAAUCAGCAG